GGCUCUGUGGCUUAGUUGGUUAAAGCACCUGCCUAAUAAAUAGGAGAUUCUGGGUUCAAACCCCAGUGGGGCUU
rnacentral:tRNA from 1 species